AGAGAAGGAGAUACACUAAGAUAUAUACCUUGAAGAAGAAGAUGGAGACAGAGAAGCGAAGAUGGGUCUUACUAAUCGAAAUCCUAAAACCCAAUUGAACCAAUCGAAACCCUAAAACUCAAUUGAACCAAUUGAAACUCUAAAAUUCAAUCGAAACAAUUGAGCUGCUCCAAGCUACUUUGUAAAUCCAAUGGGUCUUCUUCGAGCUAGGUCUUCAAUUUGGGUCUCCUUUGUAAAUCGAACGGAUUUGAGAUAGUGAGCUACUGAGUUUGAGAUUGAUAUAAUGAGAUGGUGAGAGAGAGGGAGAUAGUGAAAUAGAGAGAGAGAGAGAGAUGGAAGAGAGUCUGAAAGAGAAGGUGAGAGGAAAAGAGAGACAGGAGAGAGAUGUCGAUAGAGAGAAAGAGGGAAAAGAGGGGAGGAAAUUAUUUGUGUAAAAGGGGGAAAUAAAGUUUUGGUUGG
rnacentral:lncRNA from 1 species